UUCUUAUACCUUCACUAUAAGUAAAAUCUGCUCCAUGUAUAAUAAAUAGCCGCAGAAUAUUAACUGUGCUAAGGUAGCAUAAUCAUUUACCUUUUAAUUAAAGGUUUGUAUGAAUGAUUUUACAAUUAAAUUACUUUUUUAUUAACCUAUUUUAAAAUUAAAUUAAACAUAAAAAUGUUUUUAUUAUAUAAAAAGACGAUAAGACCCUAUUGAACUUUACUAAAGUUUAGCUGGGGCAGCUAGUUAAAUAUAAUUUUAAUUUCUCAUCAAUUAAAAAUUUCUGAAAAAUCAAUUUGAAUAAGUUACCAUAGGGAUAACAGCGUAAUAAAUCUUCAAAGCUCUUAUUAAAAGAAAAGUUUACGACCUCGAUGUUGAAUUAGAAUAACUUUAAAACGCAAUAGUAUUAAAAGUGGGCCUGUUCGACCCUUAAACUUCUACA
rnacentral:rRNA from 1 species